UUGUAUAGGAUGUGAAACAAACAACGAUUGUGGAACAGGGGAAUAUUGUUACAAAGAUGACUGGAAAUGCCGCUAUAUAGUAUGUGAAAAAAACGAAGAUUGUAAACAUGGGGAAUUUUGUGACCUAUCUUCGCGGGAGUGCCAUGUUGUUGGAGAUUAGUGACGCCGAUGGUCAUAAGUCAUUCAAGAGUCAAGUUCUGCAAAGAGAAAGAUCAACGCAAACAGAGAAAAUAAAUUUUAUUUUGCUGAAUAUGGAAUAAAAAAAUAUUCUACAAUAA